rnacentral:rRNA from 1 species
GAACGCUGGCGGCGUGCUUAACACAUGCAAGUCGAACGAUGAAGCCUUUCGGGGUGGAUUAGUGGCGAACGGGUGAGUAACACGUGGGCAAUCUGCCCUGCACUCUGGGACAAGCCCUGGAAACGGGGUCUAAUACCGGAUAUGACUGCCUAUCGCAUGGUGGGUGGUGUAAAGCUCCGGCGGUGCAGGAUGAGCCCGCGGCCUAUCAGCUUGUUGGUGAGGUAGUGGCUUACCAAGGCGACGACGGGUAGCCGGCCUGAGAGGGCGACCGGCCACACUGGGACUGAGACACGGCCCAGACUCCUACGGGAGGCAGCAGUGGGGAAUAUUGCACAAUGGGCGCAAGCCUGAUGCAGCGACGCCGCGUGAGGGAUGACGGCCUUCGGGUUGUAAACCUCUUUCAGCAGGGAAGAAGCGUGAGUGACGGUACCUGCAGAAGAAGCGCCGGCUAACUACGUGCCAGCAGCCGCGGUAAUACGUAGGGCGCAAGCGUUGUCCGGAAUUAUUGGGCGUAAAGAGCUCGUAGGCGG